AAACAUGAGAGUUUGAUCCUGGCUCAGAAUGAACGCUGGCGGCGUGCCUAACACAUGCAAGUCGGAUGUGCCGCAAGGUGCAUGGCAGACGGGUGAGUAACGCGUGGGGAAUCUACCUUUUCGUGGGGAAUAACGUUCCGAAAGGAAUGGUAAUACCGCAUGAGACCACUGAUUGGGAUAUGAGUGGUGAAAGCCGGGGACCUUAGGGCCUGGCGCGAGAAGAGGAUCCUGCGUCUGAUUAGCUAGUUGGCGGGGUAAUGGCCCACCAAGGCAACGAUCAGUAGCCGGCCUGAGAGGGUGAUCGGCCACACUGGAACUGAGACACGGUCCAGACUCCUACGGGAGGCAGCAGUGGGGAAUUUUGCGCAAUGGACGAAAGUCUGACGCAGCAACGCCGCGUGGGUGAUGAAGGUC
rnacentral:rRNA from 1 species